rfam:Danio rerio strain Tuebingen unplaced genomic scaffold GRCZ10_NA731.
AUGAAGAAAGCUAGCUCCCUGCAACCCUCACAAUGUCGCCCACUGAAGCUAAGCAGGGCUGCGCUCGGUCAGUACCUGGUGGGAGACCGCCUGGGAAAGCUAGAUUGCUGCUGG